UCUGGCUAGCCAGCCAAGAGGCUUACUAUAGCUGUCUAUCCAGCAAAUAUGAUGGGGGAUCAAUUGUGAUCAGUAGCCAAUGGAGACCUGCUUGAAGUCCAGUCAUAUUGAACGAGUUGAAAGAGGACCAGAUAACUAAGUGAACCAAUCACAGAGUUCAGCCAUAACUGGCAGCAAGAUUAAUUACAUACAUGUUUGUGGGAACAUUGUGACAGAGACAAGAGGAAUGGAGGAUGUCAUAUCUAAGAACUUGAUUCUUUUUCAUGUCACAGAAAUCCUCAAAUCCUCUCUCUCCAUCAUGUACUCUGACACUAGGUUAAGGAGAGAAGUAGGAGAUGGGGUGGGGGUAUACAUAACAUAUUUUAUUCUCAAUCUGAUCAUAUAUAUUUUUUUGAAAAAUGUCCUUUGGUAUUUUUAGACUAACUUUAAACCAGACUUAAUAUUUAAUGAUAUAUAUUUUUCUCCAUUGACAAGUUGGUAGUUAAUGGUGAUCUUUGAAUGACAACAGAAAUGGAUUUCAUUUAAUUUAAGUUCCUUUACCCUGCAAGAGAGGAAAAAAAGCACACUCCCCUCUUGGACCAGGGAUGCUUCUCUUUUUUCUUCCAUACCAUGUUAUUGGAGAAAGGGAACAUUAGAGCAUCUUUGUGUUUUUAACAUACUGUGCAAAUUUGAAUUGAUGUGCAAAUGUCUAUUCAUUUGAAGGGAAAAAAAAAACACCUUGCCUUAAAUUCAAUUUUUGAAAUAAAAUCAGUCCUUAAAGAGAGUAAUAGUCUACCAAAUUCAAGAAGCUUUUCUUUGAACAUUAAAUACUAAGUGCUGAGUUCAAUUUGACACUAUCAUUUUGAAGUUUGUCCUUUGUUGUUUCAUGCCCCAAAUCCCUCAUACACCAAACCAGUUUUCUGUCAUUAUUGUAAGUGCUCUCUCUGGCCCCUCUGUCUCUCAAUCCAUUAUCUUCUUUCUGUUUUUGCUUAUACCCAAGAGUAGCUAUGCUAAUGAUGGUGAUACCUUAUUUUGUGCCCUAUAUUGAUGCCCUUCACCGAUGAACCACCAGGAAUACACAUGUUCAACAAGUUUAUGAUUGCAACAAGAGAGACUAAACCAUGAGGAACAGCAAGACACUGCAAUAAGCAGUGGGGGAUUAUUCUAGGAUUUAGGAUUAUGUUAAUUGAUUUUAGAGAGGUCUCAAAGUAAAUGUCUGUUCUGGCAUGUGUUUUGUAGAAAGCAGAAACAAUUUUUCUUAGUUGGUAGAAGGAACUUCAUGAGCAGGGCUAGAGAAUAUACACAGUCAUUUAAGUUGGGGGGUACUGUUUUGUCACUUUUGUGGUUGCAAAGAGGCUUUGUUUUGUUGUUGCUAUUUAAAUUUCUGUUGCA
rnacentral:lncRNA from 1 species